rnacentral:rRNA from 1 species
GUCGAGAAUUUUUCACAAUGGGCGCAAGCCUGAUGGAGCGACGCCGCGUGGGGGAUGAAGGGCUUCGGCUCGUAAACCCCUGUCAUUCGCGAACAAAGACGCCGGCCUAACACGUCGUCGUCUGAUAGUAGCGGAAGAGGAAGGGACGGCUAACUCUGUGCCAGCAGCCGCGGUAAUACAGAGGUCCCAAGCGUUGUUCGGAUUUACUGGGCGUAAAGGGUGCGUAGGUGGCGGACUAAGUCGGGUGUGAAAUCUCCGGGCUCAACCCGGAGACUGCGCCCGAUACUGGUUUGCUCGAGGAUGGGAGGGGAGACUGGAAUUCUCGGUGUAGCAGUGAAAUGCGUAGAUAUCGAGAGGAACACCGGUGGCGAAGGCGAGUCUCUGGACCAUUCCUGACACUGAGGCACGAAAGCCGGGGGAGCAAACAGGAUUAGAAACCCUAGUAGUCC